AAAUCUAUCUUUUUAUUUUAAAAAUAAUACAAAUUUAUUUAUUUAAAAAAAAUUAAAUAUUUACUUUAGUAUAAUUAUUUUUAUAAUUUUUUAUUAUUUUAAUCAAAAUAUUAAUUUUAAAUGAAAAUAUUGGAUGUUUAUUGUAGUGUUUUAGAGGUUUGGAUAGAAUUGGUUACAGUAUUAGUGACUGGUCGACACAUCUGAAGAGUGUCGGACUGAGUCGGUGUCAAUUAUGCACGAAAUGGAUGCAGAAAUAGACUCGGCGCACUCAAAUAAGCAAAACUGAAGUUUUGCCAGAUUCGGACGCCCAGAACAGGGUUUGGAUCGCCCAGAACUUGAGUGCAGUACUGAACAGAACUGGAAGCCAAUUCGGAUCCUAGUUU
rnacentral:lncRNA from 1 species